CGUGCCGGGCCGAGCCGGGCCGUGCCGGAAGCCGGAAGCCGGGCCGUGCCCGCCCGCCGCGGGAGGAGCCGGGGCCGGAGCGGAGCGGAGCGGAGCGGGCGGGGCCGCAGCCGGAGCGGGAGGAGCCGCCGGGCGGGACGCGAGCGGGGCAUUUCUGCUCGGAGGCCAUGGAGCUUUCAGCCAACGAGCUCAGCAUCUAUGACAAGCUCUCUGAGACCAUUGAUCUGGUGAGACAGACUGGCCACCAGUGUGGCAUGUCAGAAAAAGCCAUUGAGAAGUUCAUCAAGCAACUCUUGGAAAGAAACGAGCCCCAGAGGGGCCCUCCACGGUACCCUGUCUUAGUGGCUCUCUACAAGGGACUGCUCACCCUGGGCUUGGUGUUGCUGACUGUUUACUUGGUGAUCCAGCCCUACAACCCGCUGCCACCUGAAGCACCACUCUCCAGAGCCCAGGCCUGGGGCUCCCUCGUGGGGCACAUCCGGCUGCUGUCCCUGCCCAUUGCCAAGAAGUACAUGUUGGAGAAAUGCCAGGACUGGUGGGCAGCAGGUUGCAGACAGAACACUUCUGCACUUCCUGCAAACUGCACAGUCUGUUCUGCUGUGAAAAGCCUUCACAUAGUGACAGACUUCAGAGAGCUAUCAGAAAAGCUCCAGAGGCAUCAGCCUUUUCUAAUCAAGACAGGGCAGCAUCUCUCCUAUGAAGAACUGAAGCAUUUUCAGUCCCAGGAUCCAGAACUGGCAGAGGUUAUAAUAGAAGAAAAUUCAGCUGAAUUGUGGAGCUGCCCAUUUUUCUUUCCCUGGAACAAGUCUGUGAAUAGAUCCCGGAUUCUCCAGGAAUUUUUCCCUGCUUCCUCUUUGCUGUCCUUCCCCAAGACAGUGUCUCUGGAGAGCUGCUUCCUCAUCCGCCACCCAGAUUUGGGGAACAAGAGCUACAGCCUGCACAGCCUCUUCGCUGUUGGGAGUGGGCAGCUCACCCUGACUGUUGCACCCCUGGACACGUGCAGAGGACACUGUGAGGUGUUCAAGGUGGAGCUGGAAGCUGGAGAUUUGGGUUAUGCCAGCACAGAUCACUGGACAAUGAGCUUCAUGGCCAGAGGGACAGAGCCAGCGGUGAUUUGUGAUGGAGCUGCCAGCUAAGGGUGCUGGGGUGGGAAAACAGAGCUGUUCCCAGGACAAGAAGACUUUCAGCUUUGAAGCCAAGGCAGCGUCUUGAAAGGAGCGAGCCGGGGCAACUGGGGCAGGCAGCUUUGCCACCCUGCAUGUUUACAGUGUUUAAAAAGGACUAUUUUCCUGACCCUUGAGGUAAUCCUUUGCCUUUCCUCAAAUGUAUUUUGGGAGAAGCUCAAGCUAUUUAUGACCCUCCCUGUCCCCUCAGGUAAGCCCAGGGUUUGCAGCAAAGGGGUUUUUUUUCCAGGAGCAGCAGAUGGAUUUCUCAGGAUGAGAUUCACCUUAUGUUCUUUGUGGAUUAUGGCACUUCUGAAACUUCCUGGGGGGUUUGGGAGUGGAUGGGGUGUGUGACAUUUCUGUGUACAUUCCUCCUGAGGAGGAAGCUUUGAGCCUGUGUAGUCAGGCCCGUUCUAUAAAGGGAAUGGAUUGGUGAUGUGUCCCAGCUCUCACGUCUGCAGCUGUGUGAGCCCUGCAGAGCUGACCUUGGCUCCUGCUCCCUGGCUGGGGAGAGCCUUGAGCCUGAGGGCAGAAACUCACCCACUGCAUCCUUCUUGUACCAAAAGAAUCCCUUAAGGCCUCUCUGUGUUGUGAUCACCCUUUUGCAGCUCUCUGUCAGCAGGUUGUGAGUGAGUCAAAUGGUAAUUGUGCUUUUCUUCACCUCCACUUCCUUUCCUGCAAAAACACUGACACACAUCUUAGAGGUGCUGGCAGUGCUGGAGUUCUGGAUGGAGCUGGGGUUGGGAGAGAGCAGCUCUGUCCAGCUUUCACCUCAGACACCAAGGGCUGCACAGCCGUUCUCAGCUGCUCCUUGUUUUUGGAGGCACUGCCUGCGUUCCCAGCCCACGGUACCUCUGGGAGCACCUGAAACCUCCCUCUUCCCUGGCAUAUUUUUGCAUUGACUCCUUCCAGACCUGGAACUCUGUCUUCAGAAUGAACGUUGGUUUUUCCUGGGUCCUUUCCAAGCUGCCUUUGCGUGUUUCCUGCUGCUGGAGCAGCGCUGUCUCCAGUGCCCUGAGAGAGGCUCGGGUUCGGUGUGUGCAGACUGCGGAUGCUCCGCUCCCUUCCAAGUCUGAUCCUUUGGGUCUGAUCCCACUGCUGAAGAUCAUUUACAGAUGUGGCAGGCUGAACUCAUAGGCCAGGGCUGGAGUUCAGGACAUACUCUCACACUUGUUAAUAUGGAGUUGGGAGGGGUUUUGGUUAACUGUUCUCAGGAGCAAGAGCCUUUUUCUCUGUAAAUAUUUUAGGUACAUGUAAAAUGACAGAUUGGGAAAAUGUCUGUCCAGCCUUUGUUUUUGAGGAGAAUAGGAGCAAACAUUGUGCUAAUCUGAUUAGGAGUUGACAAAAGCUGCCAAGUGGGAUGACCACUUCUGGCUCCUGUACAAGAAUAAGGCAGAGGACAGUUCCUGCUCCAAAGAAUUUAGUCUGAGGCCUUGACACUACAAACAUUUCUAUGCAUAACCCUUGUUUUUCUCCUGUCAAAACAAUGAGAACAAGCCCAGCACCUGUGUCAGUCUGUGCAUGGCCCUUGAUGCUGGACACACACCAGAUCUAGUAGAACCAAAAGAGGAGAGUCUGACUCUCUCAGGAUAGAAAAGGACUGAUAUAAUUUGUUACCGAGUAUUAAAGGGAAUUGGACUAAUAGAACUUGCAUUAGUGUUCUCACUGCUUGGAGUGUAUUUCACACUCAUGACACUACAUUAAAUCUUGUACAUGCCAAGACACACACACACACACCACCCCCCUCCCUCCUCUUAAAGCCUGGGUCUUAGUUAAUGGAAAUUUGGGAGUUCAGUGAUGGCAGAAUUAGGGCCUCAUUAGUGACUGUUGCUAUUUACACUUUGGCAGCUUCUCAAAUCAAAUUCAAAGGCUGACCAGGUUACUUCACCUCUCACUGCUUUUGUAUCUGACCCAUUUUUGUAAAGCAUUUGCUCAAAGAUGCUGCUGGAGCCAUUCUUGCUGAGAUUGCGAGGUUCGGUGACACUGUCACCGCUAAGUGUCCUUGACUGUAACUUGUAAAAGAGCUGCGGAGACAAUUCCCAAGUGUCUGUGAAAUGCCUGGAUUUUGAGAGUCACACUUAAGCCAUUGUGGCUGUCUGGCUCUUUCGGGAAGAAGCAGAGAAAAUGGAUCUAUUUACAGUUGCUGUUUGGACUGGGGGGAGGAAGGGGCAGGUUUGUGUCUGUUUAGCAGAAAUGUUCUCACGUAGUGCUUCUCCCUUCCUCGAAGAGUUGCAGCCUUCCUUGAAGAGUUGCAGCUGGUUGGACAGGAGCUGGUGAGUCUGGCCUGUGUGCAGAGCAGCCUUCCAAGUGCACUUUAUGGGCUCUGCAUAAGUUUCCAGCUCUGUCUCAGCGAUACAUUGCAUAUGUCCCAGCCUCGCUCCCUUCGGAGCUUACAUCAUUUGUUUUUAAGCUCUCCGGUAUAUUUUCUCUUCCUCUUCCAAAGGCUGUAAGGAAUUAGCUGCUAAACUAAAACAGGAGGGCAGUUCUCCUGCUGAUAAAGAGUCAAUUUUGGCCGAAGUGCAGAGCCCCAGUCUGCAGCACGGCUUCCAGAGCAGCUCCUGUCUCCAGCUGCCAGAGGAGUGGUGCUCACACCUUCCACAUCCCAGGGCAGGCAAGGAGCCACAGAGGGAAACCCGGAGGUGAGGCCACAAUGGCAGAACUGGGAUGGCCAAAGGGAGGUUUUGAUACCUUUAUUGCAGUUAAGCCCUGGUCGUCUUCCACAUCCAGAGCUCCAGCUUCACAGAGUCCCUGGAAAGGCUGCAGGACUUCCCUAGGGAGGCUGGUGGUCCUAGUGGCCUGCUCAGGUGGAACAGGGCUGUUCCUGCAGCUGUUGAGGUUUCACAGCCAUGAUCACAUGUGUCACAGAGGGGUGUCCCACCAUGGUCUCCCUCACCUCAGCUCCUCUUUUGCACUCUCUGUGCUGGUUUGGACAAUCUCCCACUUUCCCUCUGCCCAGCUCACACAAGUUCCCAGUUAAUACAUUUUAAAAUCCCUUUGUGUGCUUUAGAGCUCAUUGCCUGUGAGCUGGGAGCUGGAAUCCUCCUCACCCCACAUCCCAAAGGCUGCAAAGCUGCUCUGAAAUCACACCAGAAAUCGGUACUCCCCACGAGCCCAGUGGGCAGAGGUGAGGAGGGGUCACCUCUGCACUUGCCAGGCUGGAAGGACAGGCUGUCCCUGUCAGCUGGGCAGGAGGAUCGUGGUUUAAAGCUGCUCCCCAAAGCAGGGGUCACUGACCAGUGCUGUCAGUCAGUCCUGAACUCAGGGUAACUGAAAGGAGGAGAAAGGAUUAUUAUGAUUUACUUCAGUACCAGGAAAUCAGCGGCCCCCAAGGGAGCCAACCUGGCAGUUUCUAUUGAUUCUUUUUUUUGCUUUCUUUGUUCCUUUUCAAUUUUUUUCCCUGCCCACUGUUAUUGCACACAUUGAUUCCCCUGAGGGAUCUCUUUGCAAGGCCCUGGAGAGCUUUGAGUCAGAUUUCCUGUGAGUCUCCAGAGUGCAGCUUCUCCCACCAAGCCUGUUUUUGCAGAGUUCUGGAGGAGAAACUGGUUUGUCCGGGCUGGAUCAAAGCACCUCCCUUCCCUCCUGGGCUCCAGCAGCAGCAGGAGGAGGUGGGGAGCAGGAGAGCAUCUCAUGGUAGAGAUGGGAGCUCUAUAAACACCAGUGUCUCAGAAAUGGGGAUCCUUCUGCCUUGAAACCCUCUUGUUCCCUCUCUCCAGGAGGGGAGUUUCCCCACACCCCAAUCCCAGGUCCUCGUUCAGCCCCAUGGCCCCCAGGAGAAUUGAACAUUUCCUUGGGUGAGGCCAUUUUGAUGGGUGCACAAAGAGCUUUGGCUUCCUGCAAACCAAACUUUCUCCUCUUGGUAAUUUUUAUAGGUAGAACUCGAAAUCCUCCUCUUCAGGAACCUCCUCCUUGUAAAGGGCAGAUUUAGUGUCCUGCUGAGUUAGACAAGGGAGAUGCUGGACUUCCCUUUGCUUUGGACAUUCAAACAAAUGGCAGCAACAAUCUCCAUAUUUCCUUCACAUUUGAGUUGAUUUUAGCCAAACUUUGAGGCGUGGAAGACGAUAAACUCCUCCAGAGCUCAUAAAUCCGGGCGAGUAGGGAGAAAAGAGAUCCUGUUACUCCCACAGCAGUGCAGGAGCCCUGUUAGACACCGGCCAGCCCCGCUGGAGACCCUGGAGAUCUGGAAGUUGCCUCAUGGUCAAAGGUCCUGCAUCUCCUGGGGAGCUUCAACCAUCCUGAUAUUUGUUGGAGAGACAGACAACACAGCCUGGCACAGACUGGAAGUCCAGGAAAUUCCUGCAGUUCAUUGAAAAUAACUUUUUGAUACAAGUGGUGGAGGAGCCAAGGAGGAGAGUCUUCAAGCUGUUGGGUGUUCCUUGCUUUUGGGAGGUGCUUUAAAUCUGACUGCCAGAGCCGUGGGCUGCUGAGAGCAGAAGCUGCCUGCACGAUGCUGAGCUCAGGUCUCCUUUCUGUCCUCCUGGUGCUCUCAGUGCUGGAACUGAGCUGGUGCCUGAGUGAUGAAGAAAAGAAGAUCAUCUUGGAUGAGCAUAAUAAAUAUCGCUCCCAGGUCUCUCCUCCUGCCAAGGCUAUGAGGAAGAUGACCUGGGACACGGACCUGGAGGUUGAUGCUCAAAAGCAUGCAGAGAAGUGCAUGUGGUCCCAGAACGGGGGCCCUGGCAGAUUAAACCUCUUUGCUUCACCUUCAACCCUGGAUGUGAAAUUGGCCAUUGAAGAAUGGAAUGCAGAGAGGAAAUUCUACAACUGGAAAACAUCUGAGUGUGUCCCCGGGCAGACGUGUGAGAACUACAUCCAGGUGGUCUGGACAUAUACAGCUCAUGUUGGCUGUGGGAGCAGUUAUUGUGAGAAGAUCGAUGGAGCUGAAACAGAGAACGUGCACCUGCUUGUUUGCAGCUAUUAUCCCCCG